rnacentral:rRNA from 1 species
AACGGCGAGUGAAGAGGGAAAAGCUCAAAUUUUAAAUNAGGCGGUCUUCGGCCGUCCGAGUUGUAGUUUAGAGAGGUGCUUUCCGCGCUGGACCGUGUACAAGUCCCCUGGGAUGGGGCGUCAUAGAGGGUGAGAAUCCCGUCCAUGACACGGACUACCAGGGCUAUGUGUUGCGCCUUCAAAGAGUCGAGUUGUUUGGGAAUGCAGCUCAAAAUGGGUGGUAAACUCCAUCUAAAGCUAAAUAUUGGCGAGAGACCGAUAGCGAACAAGUACCGUGAGGGAAAGAUGAAAAGAACUUUGGAAAGAGAGUUAAACAGUGCGUGAAAUUGCUGAAAGGGAAACGCUUGAAGUCAGUCGCGUUCGGCGGGACUCAGCCUUGCUUCUGCUUGGUGCACUUCCUGUCGGACGGGUCAGCGUCCGAUUUUGACCGCUGGACAAUGGAGAGAGGAAUGNGGCACCUCCGGGUGUGUUAUAGCC